rnacentral:rRNA from 1 species
AGUCACUGACAUUAGAUACCCCGGUAGUCCAGGGUGUAAACGCUGCAGACUUGGUGUUGGAAGCCCUUUGGGGGCAUUCAGUGCCGGAGAGAAGUUGUUAAGUCUGCUACUUGGGAGUACGUCCGCAAGGAUGAAACUUAAAGGAAUUGGCGGGGGAGCACCGCAACGGGAGGAGCGUGCGGUUUAAUUGGAUUCAACACCGUAAAACUCACCAGGGAAGACUGUUACAUGAAGGCCGAGAUGAAGACUCUGCUAGAUUUUCAG